rnacentral:rRNA from 1 species
AGGCCUGCGGGUUGUAAAGCACUUUCWGUAGAGAAGAAAAGCCUACGGUUAAUACCCGUGAGUCUUGACGUAACCUACAGAAGAAGCACCGGCUAACUCCGUGCCAGCAGCCGCGGUAAUACGGAGGGUGCGAGCGUUAAUCGGAAUUACUGGGCGUAAAGCGCGCGUAGGCGGCUUUGUAAGUCGGAUGUGAAAGCCCAGGGCUUAACCUUGGAAUUGCAUUCGAUACUGCAGAACUAGAGUAUGGUAGAGGGAAGUGGAAUUUCCGGUGUAGCGGUGAAAUGCGUAGAUAUCGGAAGGAACACCAGUGGCGAAGGCGACUUCCUGGGCCAAUACUGACGCUGAGGUGCGAAAGCGUGGGGAACAAACAGGAUUAGAUACCCUGGUAGUCCACGCCGUAAACGAUGAGAACUAGAUGUCGGGAGGAUUUGCCUUUCGGUGUCGCAGCUAACGCAUUAAGUUCUCCGCCUGGGGAGUACGCCGGCAACGGUAAAACUCAAAGGAAUUGACGGGGACCCGCACAAGCGGUGGAGCAUGUGGUUUAAUUCGAUGCAACGCGAAGAACCUUACCUGCCCUUGACAUUGACAGAACCCUGUAGAGAUACGGGGGUGCUUCGGCCUGGAAAACAGGUGCUGCAUGGCUGUCGUCAGCUCGUGUCGUGAGAUGUUGGGUUAAGUCCCGCAACGAGCGCAACCCUUGUCCUUAGUUGCCAGCACUUC